rnacentral:rRNA from 1 species
GAUAAACGCUGACAGGAAUGCUUAACACAUGCAAGUCUAUGAUGGGGAGCGUAAGACCGUAGCUUAGAAGAAGUCAUGGCGGACGGGCGAGUAACGUGUAAAGAACUUGCCCUCUAGACUGGGAUAACAGAUAGAAAUGUCUGAUAAUACCGGAUAUUAUUGUUACAUGGCACCAUGUAGGAAUGAAAGGAUAAGAUUGCUAGAGGAGAGCUUUGCAUCCUAUUAGCUAGUUGGUAAGGUAGAGGCUUACCAAGGCGAUGAUAGGUAGCCGGCCUGAGAGGGUGGACGGCCACAAGGGGACUGAGAUACGGCCCUU